GUACCUUACAUUUUACCCAUUUUAUACAAAUGUCAUCUACAUCACUUCUCACGCCACCACGCUCUGUUAGCUCGCUCCCUCAAACCCCCGUAACAUAAUUUUCGAACUUUCCGAUCGUGCGUUCCUCCUCUCCCUCACAAAUCCAGUGCCUUUCCAGCGCUGCUCUUUCCAGGCGUGUCAAAUGGUACACGAACAAGAACAAAUUUAUUUUCAGGAACUUUUGGGGAACGAAUGGGGGUAUGAUUAAAAGCGGAGAAGAUUGUGUGCCGAGUUCCAAGCUCCAUUGUUGUUCUGCGGUCAGUCGCGCGACAAACUAG
rnacentral:lncRNA from 1 species